UUUGAUUCUCUAAUAUUUACCUACAAUAAUUCCCUCUUUAGUUUUCCGCUUUAGCUUAAUCGCCCAAACCUAAUUCCAAUUUUCUCACCCUCCAAAUUUCUUGUAAAAUCGUGGCUGUGAUCUAAUUUUUUCUCGUGGACAUAAUAUUCAUUUGGGUAGAAAAAAAAUCGGCUGAAUCAACUACAUAUUUUGAGCUCUUCAAGUUGUCUUCAAGGUAUGCCAAUCAAUCCUACUAUUAAUUUGUAAAUUGUGUAGAAAAUAUAAGUAUAUAAUCUUGAAUUUUGAGAUUACUUUUUCAAUUUCUUGCCAUGGAAAAACAAAUAAAUAUGGAGGCUGUUCUUCUGUAUGAAUUUUGAAUUACGUUUAGAGAUUUGACAUAUUUUGAAGUUGUGCUCUUUAGAAAAAGAAUUGUUGUUUUGCAUAUGGAUUCUUUGGUUGGAUGCUAAGAUAUGUAUAUAAGGAUGAAUGGCUCUAUGUUGGAAUUCUUCACUAUAUUACGAGACAGAAACAUAAGCAUAUUGGGCUAUUCCUUGCAAGUACAUUUUUUGAAAUAAGAUGAAAGUCCUUUCUGUAUCUUUUCUACAAUCUUAUACAGAUUAUUUUACAUUUUGAAGUUAAGAGUAAAUAACGAACAGACUAUAAUUUUCUUGUCUUCAUGUACAGAAUAUACAUCAAGGUUACCCAAUGAAGAAUUUGGUGAGGUUUCUCAAAGCAAGAGAUGGGAAUGUAUCCGAAUCCCAUAAAAUGGUUUGAAGAUUCCGAUGCUAACAAUUUUUUUUCCUUUUUUUUAAGAAUAAGUUGAUGUAUGUUCAUUGUUUCUUACCAGUUGUACCCCAUGUUUUUUCAGCUUGUCAACUGCUUGAACUGGAGGUUACAAAACGAUAUUGACAAUAAAUUGGCGGUGAGCUCCGAUGAUCUUGUUCUAUGUAGAAUGUUAAGAUUUCUAUUUCUUUAUAAUUUGGUAUCUGUGCAUAUGAGAUUUGACCAGGCCAUGUUAUAUUUUUUUUUAGACUGUGGCAUUGUCCAAAACGGCUUAUCUUUAGCCAUGGUCAUAUUGAUAAUGAACAUUUAUUUGAAUCUUUAACUACAAACAUUUCUAAUCUAUGGUCAAAUUUUCUGAUCUUGAUUGGUGCUUUAGAAAGUUAGAUGAUUGAGCGUCUCAAUUUAAGCUAAUGUUUCUUCCAAAAAGUGCAUCGCUUUAGUCAACAGCCAUAAAACAAUCUUCAGCUUGAAAUAGUAGAUUUUUUUUUAUGUUGGAAAAACAAAUUGCAAAAUCCAUGAGACUUUAGUUGGUGCACCUGGUUCUAUUAUUUCAAGAAUGCUAUUCACUUCCUAGAUUUUGUCAGAUUUGUCAAGGAUGAGGCCGUGACCUCAUCUGGUUGACCCCUUGGUGGAUUUUGCAGAAGGCAUCAUCAGAGGAGAUGGCUGAGGUAGUGAACUUAUAUGUUAUCAACAUGUACUUAAAUUAUUAUAAUUGCUAAGAAUUUGAAUAUAGUAUUUGAAACAUGGAUUUUUUAUUAUUAUUAGGAUGGUUCCAAGUUUCCCGAAGUCGACACAUUUGAGUUCGCUUAUGCAGGAAAGAACAAGUGUUGGACUUAUAAUGUAGCUAAAGCUCAACAUGUAAGAAAGACU
rnacentral:lncRNA from 1 species